rnacentral:rRNA from 1 species
GAUGAACGCUGACAGAAUGCUUAACACAUGCAAGUCGAUGGGGAAGUGGUGCUUGCACCAUGGCAACCAUGGCGGACGGGUGAGUAACGCGUAAGGGACUUACCUGCAGGACUGGGAUAACAGGGGGAAACUCCUGACAAGACCGGAUAAUGUCAUGGAGCUGCAUGGCUUUAUGAUGAAAGGAGACGCCUGCGGAGAGCCUUGCGUCCUAUUAGCUAGUUGGUGAGGUAAUGGCUCACCAAGGCGAAGAUAGGUAGCCGGCCUGAGAGGGUGGACGGCCACAAGGGGACUGAGAUACGGCCCUUACUCCUACGGGAGGCGGCAGUGGGGAAUAUUGGACAAUGGGGGCAACCCUGAUCCAGCAAUUCUGUGUGCACGAAGAAGGUUUUCGGAUUGUAAAGUGCUUCCAGCAGGGAAGAAGUAAGUGACGGUACCUGCAGAAGAAGCGACGGCUAAAUACGUG